GACCAAAAAAAAAAAAAUACUCUAAUUCUUCUCCGCCCAAGAUUUCUACCUCUCCCUCAAACUCUCUUCGCCUCAUCUCUCUUCUUCGUUCUCCCAGCUUUUCAUGAUAUCUCUCGAAACUUCACACCGAAAGAAAAUCUCUCGAAACUGGAUUGAAUCUGUUAAUCGAGUUGCUUCCAUCGCUCGAUUUUAGCCGUAAAUUUUACAACCCAAUCUUCAAAUCGACUUCUUUUCAGGUAGAGGUGGUAUCGAGAUCAAGCUCGCCUCUGGGUUUCUUCUGUUGGAAAUUAAAGAUGAAACUGGAGAAAAGAAAAUACGGAGACGAGUGCUUUGGCUGGAAGGGAGCUUUCAGGCCUUGAUUCGUCAUAGAGAUAGCUGAAGCUGUUUUAUUUUCCAGAUUAACAAUCAGUGAUCUUUUGGGCAUUUGAACUCUGUGUGAAUAUGAGGCACGAGUGACAUAAACUUUCAGAUUUUGGAAGAAUUUGCAGGCUGCAAAGGGAUCUGGAACAACUUUAAUUUCUGGAUAGAUUUGCAGCGGAAAGUCCUUCUCGCCAGUGCUGCUCUCUUUCUCUCUCUCUUCUUCGUCACCCAAUCUCUGCAAUUGUCAGCAAAAUUCGAUCCAAGGUCUGGAAGGAAACUGUAGCUUCCCCCGUAGAGCGGAAAUAGCAUAAGCUCGCACCUGUGUGCACCUAAUUGGAGCAACUUUGGAGUAGAGAAAACCCUCUGUAAUAAUCAAUAUCUUGGUCAAUGAACCUGACAUCAUUUA